rnacentral:misc_RNA from 1 species
ACAAACUUGGUCAUUUAGAGGAAGUAAAAGUCGUAACAAGGUUUCCGUAGGUGAACCUGCGGAAGGAUCAUUAUUGAAUGACUGGUUGUUGCUGGCUCGAAUGAGCAUUGUGCACGCCUUAUUCAUUUUCAAUCACCUUGUGCACCUUUUGUAGGCCAGAAUUGUCUCAUAAUAACACUUGGUUUGAGAGACUGUUUUGUUCGUCAAAACUUCUCUUGCAAUUUUGGUUCUAUGUUCUUGUUUUUAAACAACAAAAAUGUAAUAGAAAAUUGUUGAUCUUGGGCCGUCUAGGCCUUUAAAUAAUAUAACUUUCAACAAUGGAUCUCUUGGCUCUCGCAUCGAUGAAGAACGCAGC